AAGGUGAAAAGUCAGUGGCAACCUAUUUUGGAAACUGGAGAAAAAAAUACUUCAGAAAGAAAAUACAAUCAAUAUUUUCAAAUGCCAUGAAACAGUUUUACGAUGAAGCUGAGGUCCGUUGAUCUAUAUUUAUCUCAAACAAAUGGUUUUAUCUGGGAUCCCUCAUCUGCAAAUCAGUAACAGUGGGGAGCUGGAUUGAUUCAGACUUUAACAAGUGGGAAAUCUGGAAGGACAUUUAAAGGUGAUAUGGCAUUAAGAACUUCAUCUCUAAGUCACCACUUAGAGGAAACACACUCGACAAUGUUACCCAAGCAUCUGCCUUCCCAGUAGUAUCUGGACUGGAUUAAUUUGUGGGCAAGAAGGAACUUUUAUUUUGUUAAGCUCCUGGGAUUUUGAUGUUGUUUGUUAUAGCUGCUAGCAUCAGUUAUUUCAUUCAGAGAUGGAACAUGAAAAUAAAUAAGGCCCUACACUUGAGGAGUUCAAAAUUUAGGAGAUCAGUCAGAGUGGUGGGAGAAACUAUAGGGAAAGGUGCAGUCCUUCUGGAAGGUCAGAAGGCACUGCAAAGCUCUGGGGAGAAUCGCUGAAGGCAGCUGCUCUAUAGCCCUGAGGGGGAGGGCAAGGAGUAGGUACAGUACAAGGGAGUGUAGGGGAAUUUAUCUUAACAGACUUGUUACUUACAUUGUCCAGGAACUGACCUUCCAUUAUCCCUGCAAGUGACUGCUCCCAGAAAGGGGGAACAAUAAAUGUUAAUUACCUGCAGAUUGUAUUUGCCUCAGGCUUUCAGCAUUGUGCCUGCACUGAAUAAAAGUAAGCAGCUCCAGCUUUUCAGGGCUGCUGCACUUUGGCCACUAGAGCCAGGAGUUCUCCUACCUGCUCUUACACCGCAUACCUGUGUCUGAGUACUCAUUUCAUCCGUCGGUCGGCCAGGGUCUAUGGGACAGACCUGGCAAUUAACAUUGAUAUACAUGUCUGUCUAUAUCAAUGUGCUCUUGCAUUGCUGUAAAGAAAUACCUGAGACUGGGUAAUUUAUAAAAAGAGGUUGAAUUGGCUCACAGUUCUGCAGGCUGUACAAGUAUGGUUCCAACAUUAGCUUCUGGUGAAUCCCUCAGGAGGCUUACAAUCAUGUAGAAGGGAAGAGGAGCCAGCAUAUCACAUAGUGAGAGGGAGCAAGAGAAAAAUGGGAGAGGUCCCAGACUCUUUUAAAGAACCAGAUCUAAGUGAGCAAGAACUCAAUUAUCACCAAGGAAUGGUGUCCAGUUAUUCAUAAGGAAUCCACCACCUCCAUGAUCCAGUCACCUCCCACCAGACCCCACCUCCAAUAUUGGGAAUCAUAUUGCAACAUGAGAUUUGGAGGGGACACACAUCCAAACCGCACUAUCAGUGUAUACGUAGUAUGUUGUGAAAUAAAGUAGAUGAUACUGCAGAACACACAUUUUCAUGGUGAUUUUCCUAUUGUUAACUGUC